rnacentral:rRNA from 1 species
AGGGCACCACCAGGAGUGGAGCCUGCGGCUUAAUUUGACUCAACACGGGAAAACUCACCCGGCCCGGACACCGUAAGGAUUGACAGACUGAGAGCUCUUUCUUAAUUCGGUGGGUGGUGGUGCAUGGCCGUUCUUAGUUGGUGGAGCGAUUUGUCUGGUUAAUUCCGAUAACGAACGAGACUCUGGCCUAUUAAAUAGGCGAUACAUAGAAAAGUGUAUCGAACUUCUUAGAGGGACAAGCGGCGUCUAGCCGCAUGAAAUAGAGCAAUAACAGGUCUGUGAUGCCCUUAGAUGUCCGGGGCUGCACGCGCGCUACACUGAAAGAGUCAGCGUGCGUUUUACCUAGUUCGGAAGAACCGGGUAACCCAAGUAAAUUCUUUCGUGCUUGGGAUAGGGAAUUGCAAUUAUUUCCCUUAAACGAGGAAUUCCCAGUAAAUGCGGGUCAUAAGCUCGCGUUGAUUACGUCCCUGCCCUUUGUACACACCGCCCGUCGCUACUACCGAUUGGAUGACUUAGUGA